GGUAUGCUUGCCGCCGUCGGUUCCCGUAAGGGACUAACAGGGAAUUCGGGACGGAGCGAUCCGUCAAACGAAACUGCCCCCGCAACUGUAGGCGGCGAGUAUCCUUUCAUCGGCCACUGAGCACAUUCGUGCUCGGGAAGGCGAGAGGAUGCAGCGACCCGCCAGUCAGGAGACCUGCCGACACCUGAAUAGACUA
rnacentral:ncRNA from 2 species